GACGAACGCUGGCGGCGUGCUUAACACAUGCAAGUCGAACGGUAAGGCCCUUCGGGUACGACGAGUGGCGAACGGGUGAAUAACACGUGGUGAUCUGCCCUGCACUUCGGGAUAAGCCUGGGAAACUGGGUCUAAUACCGGAUAGGACCAUGGACUUCACGGUUUGUGGUGGAAAGCUUUUGCGGUGUGGGUUGGGCCCGCGGCCUAUCAGCUUGUUGGUGGGGUAAUGGCCUACCAAGGCGACGACGGGUAGCCGGCCUGAGAGGGUGUCCGGCCACACUGGGACUGAGAUACGGCCCAGACUCCUACGGGAGGCAGCAGUGGGGAAUAUUGCACAAUGGGCGCAAGCCUGAUGCAGCGACGCCGCG
rnacentral:rRNA from 1 species